rnacentral:rRNA from 1 species
AUGCAAGUCGAGCGCCCCGCAAGGGGAGCGGCAGACGGGAGAGUAACACGUGGGAACAUACCUUUUGGUUCGGAACAACUGAGGGAAACUUCAGCUAAUACCGGAUAAGCCCUUACGGGGAAAGAUUUAUCGCCGAAAGAUUGGCCCGCGUCUGAUUAGCUAGUUGGUGAGGUAACGGCUCACCAAGGCGACGAUCAGUAGCUGGUCUGAGAGGAUGAUCAGCCUCAUUGGGACUGAGACACGGCCCAAACUCCUACGGGAGGCAGCAGUGGGGAAUAUUGGACAAUGGGCGCAAGCCUGAUCCAGCCAUGCCGCGUGAGUGAUGAAGGCCUUAGGGUUGUAAAGCUCUUUUAACGGGGAAGAUAAUGACGGUACCCGUAGAAUAAGCCCCGGCUAACUUCGUGCCAGCAGCCGCGGUAAUACGAAGGGGGCUAGCGUUGCUCGGAAUCACUGGGCGUAAAGCGCACGUAGGCGGGUCUUUAAGUCAGGGGUGAAAUCCCGGAGCUCAACUCCGGAACUGCCUUUGAUACUGAGGAUCUUGAGUUCGAGAGAGGUGAGUGGAACUGCGAGUGUAGAGGUGAAAUUCGUAGAUAUUCGCAAGAACACCAGUGGCGAAGGCGGCUCACUGGCUCGAU